UACAGAGGGUGCGAGCGUUAAUCGGAAUUACUGGGCGUAAAGCGCACGUAGGUGGCGACGUAAGUCGGGUGUGAAAGCCCCGGGCUCAACCUGGGAAUUGCAUUCGAGACUGCAUUGCUGGAGUACGGAAGAGGAGGGCGGAAUUCCCGGUGUAGCGGUGAAAUGCGUAGAUAUCGGGAGGAACAUCAGUGGCGAAGGCGGCCCUCUGGUCCAGAACUGACACUCAAGUGCGAAAGCGUGGGGAGCAAACAGG
rnacentral:rRNA from 1 species